GAUGAACGCUGGCGGCGUGCCUAAUACAUGCAAGUCGAGCGAACAGACGAGGAGCUUGCUCCUCUGACGUUAGCGGCGGACGGGUGAGUAACACGUGGAUAACCUACCUAUAAGACUGGGAUAACUUCGGGAAACCGGAGCUAAUACCGGAUAAUAUAUUGAACCGCAUGGUUCAAUAGUGAAAGACGGUUUUGCUGUCACUUAUAGAUGGAUCCGCGCCGCAUUAGCUAGUUGGUAAGGUAACAGCUUACCAAGGCAACGCUGCGUAGCCGACCUGAGAGGGUGAUCGGGCACACUGGGACGAGGACACGGUCCAGACUCCUACGGGAGGCAGGAGUGGGGAAUUUUGCGAAAUGGGCGAAAGGCGUACGGGGCAACCGCGCGUGAGGUGUGAAGGUUUUCGGAUUGGAAAACUUUUUUAUUUGGGAAAAAAAAAUUUGUAAGUAAAUAUUCACGUUUGGACGGGUCCUUAUCAGAAAGCCACGGCGAACCAAC
rnacentral:rRNA from 1 species